CCUAUGCUCUUUUCGCUGUAGCGUAGCCACUAGUGGCCUUGUUUCUCGAAGUUUUGGGUUCUUGGUCAAGUUACUACUUUGCUGAGUUGAAGUAAGUAUUAUGAAGUCUCUAUUAGCUCAAAUGACCUGCUGAAUCCUUGUUUGCUUGAUCACUGGAUCUCGUUGUGCUGUAAAACAUGGCGGCCUAUAGUUCUGACUUUAAACACCUUUUCUCCAAUCUGGGGCAGAGUUAGGUAUGAAUAUGAAACCAAUGAAGAUAAGUUGUCUGUUGUUUCUUGUACUGACUCUUUUCAGAAGAAAUAUAGAUUUUUAUGAAGUUUUUU